CACAUGGUGGUUUAGUGGUUAGCAUGUUUGCUUCGCACCGCCGAUGUUGGGGGUUCGAAUCCCGUCUCCACCCUGUGUGU